AGAGUUUGAUCCUGGCUCAGAACGAACGCUGGCGGCAGGCCUAACACAUGCAAGUCGAGCGCUGAAGCGGACUUCGGUUCGUGGAUGAGCGGCAGACGGGUGAGUAACGCGUGGGAACCUGCCCUGGGGUCUGGGACAACCCGUGGAAACGCGGGCUAAUACCGGAUGAUGCAUCAUUGGUGGUUCUUUGAUGUCAAAGAUUUAUUGCCCUGGGAUGGGCCCGCGUCGGAUUAGGUAGUUGGUGAGGUAACGGCUCACCAAGCCGACGAUCCGUAGCUGGUUUGAGAGGAUGAUCAGCCACACUGGGACUGAGACACGGCCCAGACUCCUACGGGAGGCAGCAGUGGGGAAUAUUGGACAAUGGGGGCAACCCUGAUCCAGCCAUGCCGCGUGAGGGAUGAAGGCCUUAGGGUUGUAAACCUCUUUCAGCGGGGAAGAUAAUGACGGUACCCGCAGAAGAAGCCCCGGCUAAC
rnacentral:rRNA from 1 species